AUGGCGUCCAAAAAGCCUGAUAAAACCUAUGAAGAAAUGGUCAAGGAAGUAGAAAGGCUUAAACUGGAGAAUAAAACACUUAAACAAAAGGUUAAGUCUUCAGGCGCUGUCUCAUCAGAUGAUAGCAUCUUGACAGCUGCCAAGAGAGAAAGUAUCAUUGUCUCUUCAUCCAGAGCACUAGGAGCAGUGGCUAUGAGAAAAAUCGAGGCUAAAGUCAGAUCCCGGGCGGCCAAAGCUGUUACAGAGCAGGAACUAACCUCUCUUCUCCAAUCGCUGACCCUGAGAGUUGACGUGUCUAUGGAGGAAACUACUGUGGGUGCCAGCGGAGGGAUUGGCCCAUCCUCUCAAACAGAGACCAAGAAAAGAAGACCCAGGUGUGAUUAUCUGGAAUUAGUUGUGGUUGAACGGCGCCUGUGUACUCAAAGGAUCCGCCCAUAGCUGAGUUGGGAGUAGCAGAGACUCCAAUCAACUGGCUCAAGUAGACCUGCUUCGAUCCGUGCCAGUCCUAUAAGAACAGAAAACAUGGGGGAUGAAUUUUAUUAUCCUUCUCUGGAAAGCGUGGUCCACACCUUUUGUGUCAUAGAUACUAGGGAACAUAAUAGAGUAAGUGCCUGUUUGUGUAAGCUUCAGGUGCUGUGUAAAAUUUGUCAGACACUGCGCCACAACUUGGAUACAGAGCCAUUUUUGUUGCCCCACUUGAGGGAACUAAUUAUCAGACACCUAACACUAUUGGAGAGGUUGUCCACUACCUCCAAAUUUCAGCGCAUACUCGACUACAUGAAGCUAUCCCUUGAGGCAAAUGAUUCAAACUUGUUACAAGACUUGGCCAUAGGCACUGUCAAUUUACUGGGCUGUCAAAGUCCAGAGAUUUUGUCUAUCCCAUAUGACAAAGAUCAGCCUGUACAUGAAUGGUGUGCAUGUUUCCUGACCUCUGUAGACGAGGAAGCCUUGAGAAAAAUAUCUUCUAUGUUGGACAAUAAACACUUUUCUUAUAUGUACAACUUUAAAACAUUCUUAAAGUAUUCACUAGAGUUAGAAACAGCUGCAGACUUUGAUUUAUCUACUGGACUCAAUGUCCUUGUGUAUUGGGUAAGCGUCUUUAAACUGUUCAGUGUUUGUGUCCAAAGUCAGUUUCUGCUGGACAGCCUUGUGGCAUUUAAUGCCCUUUUUAAAAAUCAUGUAAAAGAGUUAGAAGCGAUUGUGGAAUCUGACACAAACCUGCUCUGCUAUAGCACAUCUGUUGUGUGGGCAAAAUUGUCUAACUUAAACCAUCUGCUCCACAGACUUCAGACUAGUAACAACACUUUAGUUUUUGAUGAAAUACUGAUCUGUCUGCGUGGUUUACAAAUUUAUAUAAAAUGUUUACCUACCUUAUCGGCUGAAGGGGAAUCCGAGUCAGAGGCCAUCGCUGCAGAAAUUCCCUCGUAGUGCAGGAGUUGUAUUUUUGAGUGUAGAUUGAAAAGAGUUGUGCUCUCUCCUCAGCCUUUGAAGGGACAUUUCAUGACUCAUGUAGGAGGAGCUACCAGAUUUCCAUAAAAGUGGGAGGCUAUUAUUUCUUGCAGACUGCAGCACAUUGUGGGAUAAUGUGUUCAAAAAUGGACCUUGAAACCCGUGAAGGUGGUGGUUGCCAGCAGGUUUCAAUUCUCAUGGUCACAUCUGACAGAGAAAAGGAACAGUAUGAGAAAUUUAUGAACAUACUUAAGAAUCUUUCAAAUUGUACUGAUAUAUCUCAGGUCGUGGCAGAUGCUAAAAAAAUCUAUGAUUCCAGGGAAUUUUGUUAUGUGCCUGCCCUUCUCACUCUGUUCAAGAAGUUGCCUUCUGUUCAUAAAUGGCCUGAAAAUGAAAACUGUAAUGAGGUGCUAAGUGCUGCCUUCUUUGUGUGCCAGCUCUUAUUUUUUCAUAACUUCCCAGCCUCACCAGCUUUUACAGUGGAUGAAAUGUUUGCAACAGUGGCUGCUAGAUUGAAGGAUCUGAUAGAAUAUUCAUGUGACUGUGAGAACUGUGAAUUGUUGGCUGAAUCCCUGACAAAUUAUAAGUUUUCCCUGGUACCUAUAAAGAUCAGGCCACACACCGAUACCUGUGUCUCACUGAAAACACUCCAGCGGCUACGGACUGCCAUGUUAGGCAAUCCUGAAACCCUGAGUAUUUGGACCCUUGAUGACCUGGUGGAGGACCCAGUAGUCUUCAAAGGCUAUGAAAGCGCAAUUAGGAGAGAAUUUGCUGAGCAUGUCACAUGUUUGAACAUGUGCUGGGUUGUGAAGAUAAUCUUGGACUGCAUGUCUCAGCCAACAGCUCUGCUUCGGGAUUGUAUUCAGAAGGGUGCAAAGAAUAAUGGACUCCAGCUGGACACUUCGAGUACCUGGACGUGGCCAGCAGCACGUAUUGCUGAAAAGGAAGUCAUAGAACAUACCAUGAGUGUUUGUGUACAGGAUAUGACUAGAAGUCAUGAUCAGGAAUUCUACACAGAGGCCUUUAAGGAAGAUCUCCAUAUAGGAUUAAAGAGACUAGUUGCCAUGGUCCUUGGGCAGAAUCAUAGUUGGUUAGAUGGCUUUCUGACAGACACUAUAGUGACAGGUAAAGCAUAGCCUGGGGCAUAGUUCUUUGAUGAAUCAUCAUAAAUAUGAUGGCUAAUGUGGUCCUUUUGUGUAUUAAUGCAGAUAUGUUUAUGUAUCCAGGUGUGUUGCUUGAAAGGUAUUUUGCUGUACUAACCCAACACCACCUAUUUAUCAUGUUUGGAAGCCUAUUAAAAACUGUGCUAUUGAC
rnacentral:tmRNA from 1 species